rnacentral:rRNA from 1 species
AAUAGAUACCCCGGUAGUCCACGCUGUAAACGAUAAUCACUAGACGUUGGUCUGGCUUAGCCGGAUCAGUGUCAAAGCUAACGCGUUAAGUGAUUCGCCUGGGGAGUACGGUCGCAAGAUUAAAACUUAAAGGAAUUGACGGGGGUCCGCACAAGCGGUGGAACAUGUGGUUUAAUUCGACAGUACGCGAGGAACCUUACCUGGGCUUGACAUGUAUCUGACAGCUGUAGAAAUACAGUCUUUCAGGUUUCGGCUUGAACAGAUACACAGGUGCUGCAUGGCUGUCGUCAGCUCGUGUCGUGAGAUGUUGGGUUAAGUCCCGCAACGAGCGCAACCCUUGUCCUAUGUUGCCAGCACGUCAUGGUGGGGACUCGUAGGAGACUGCCGGGGUCAACUCGGAGGAAGGUGGGGACGACGUCAAGUCAUCAUGCCCCUUAUAUCCAGGGCUGCAAAACAUGCUACAAUGGCCGGUACAAAGGGCUGCUAAUACCGCGAGGUGGAGCGAACCCCAGAAAGCCGGUCUCAGUUCGG